rnacentral:tRNA from 1 species
UUAAUUGAAGCCAAAAUAGAGGCCUUUCAUUGUUAAUGAAAUAACUGAUUUCACAAUAAUCCAAUUAAA